AAUCAGUCUUUGCAUAGCUAUAUAUUGUUGUCAUCCAGCCAGCUAUCUCUUGCUUUAUGGGGCGGAGCGCAUUUCUGUGUGUGUACAGCUGUGCAGCUUCUGUUUAGACUCCACUCCGGGGUCGUUGCUUGACAGUAAUCCUACUCCAACCCUGAUCGUUCAAACACACUUACAGCUACAGUGUACGAUACCAAAACAAAGAAAUGUCUCAAACUCAAAAUCGAUUGUGACUAUAAAUAACGCUAACUAGCCAUUUGUUACAGGGUCGCAUAAGUGAAAAAUAUCACUCACCUAGCCUGUUCAAUCAAUAGGUUCUCAUUAAUGUUAUCCAUCGUCAUUAUCAUUGUGGCGUUAAGUGCAAGGCUUAACCUAAUAGAAGCAUUAAGUUCCUGAUGCCCAGCUAAUAUGUUCUAAGAAUGUUUUGCUAAUUUUGCAAGUUAUGAAAAUGUCAUUUCUGAAUGUUCUCUAAACGUUCAAACGUCCAGUUUCUUUUUUUUUUUUCUUGAUUGUACAAACAUUAAGGGGACAUUGCAUUUUAUUAUUUUGCAAACAUUAUGGGAAUGUUAAGGUGAUGAUACAUGCGGCAACCUUUCGAGCAAUGUUGCUGGGCAACCAGGUGAGACACAGGGCCUAUGACCGAUCUAAAGUAUCCAGACAAGAAUUUGUUAAAUUAAAUUAAUUAAAACUAGAAUAAUACUAUUUCUCUGCAUUUUGCAUUGACACUGAUAUUCUGUGUCAAAGUAAUUAGGAUCACUGUAUUUAAAGCAUAAUCUUGGUAUCUCUUCCUCCAGGGAAUGAGAACAAACAGGAAACAUUUCUUGUGUUUAUGGCAAAAAUAGAGCAUUCCUCUCAUCACUGCACUCUUGCAGCUUCCAUAUUUGUCUCCUCACUGUAUGAGCUUUUGUGCAUUUAAAAUAAUUAAAAUACUUUAAUUAAGCUCAGCAUGCAGUAACAGUCUUGGAGUGUUUAAUUAGUUUAAUAGUUUUAAUUCAGCUGUAAUACUUCAAUGGUGAAUUAUAUGUCCCAUUUAUCGCAAGCUGUAAUAGCUCAUUUUGCAGAAUCAUAGCAUAACUAAUAAAUAAAGGUCUUCUUAUGUCGUUUUUGAGGAUUGUGGCAUGCUCUAAAUCCAUGCUCCAGACAUCUACUGAUGCCUAUGGGCUUUAAAAAGAAAAUUAAUUAGAUUUUCGCAAAUAAAGCAUCUGUAUGCAUCCCAUCGAAGAUGAAAGCACUUGAUUACCUUGGUUCUUUAAAAUGAGUUAAGCCAAAUCUAUUGUGAAUUAAUUUGCAGUUGUACAUAAUAUCUUACAGGUGGUAAAGUAAAAACCAGACAUAACCUGAAUUCAGUUACAUUUUUAAUUAUGUAUAAUGUAAAUUAAUAUCCCCAUGACUGUACUGGAAAUUUAUACUUAAAGCUGGCAGUUGCUUAUAGGAAGAGAUUUACACCAUGACUACAGCUUAGAGAAACGGGGGAUUAACUAUUUUAUGACACAGUUACUGUAUAUUGUAUUACUUUUUAACAUGAUAAUGUGUGCUAUGAGUCAUCACUGUUAAUUAAUGCUUGACAAUGGCUGAUGUUAUAUUGCACCGCGGGACGUCAGAGCAUUCAUGAGGUAUUAGACAAAGUGUUCUCCAAAAUACUACUUUUAAAUAAGUAUUCAUUUUAAACAGAUCAAACUGUGAGCUCAAAAUGAGGUUCUGAGAGAGGGUGAAAAGAGCGAGAGCCGCAGCUCCAGUAUUGAGCAAAAAGGCUGUUUUGUAUGUACAGACACAGAGCUCAUUACAGAAGAGGCAGAAGCCAAAUCCUUCAGUGCCCGUAGGCAGGGAUUUACAGAGGAGAUAAAAGCUGGUUCAUGAUCGCAAUAGAAGUACAUGCUUGGUCACUGCACUUAAACAUUUCAUUGUUUUGGCAUUCAGAUGAAAUAGUGCUUUGACGGAGCUGCGCGAAUACAAUGGUUUCUGUCAAAUUAAAUCUCUGUUCUCAUUAUAGACAGAGUUUUUUGCUGUUUCUGCAGAGAAAGUAAAACACAUUGGCUAAGUUGGGAAGCUAUAAGUGGGAAUUUUGCACGCUUCAAAAACCAUCAGUCAACACCUUAUGUGUGCUUUGCAAUUGCUUCUAAAAUGUGUGACUUCUAGUUGCAUGAACACAAUUCAUUAUCAUGAUGCAAGGGCAUCAGUGAAGGCUUUUGCUUAAAAUAGCAGCAAAAAUGCAUGCGUUUUUGUGAGUAUGGAGCUAUGCAUUCAUGUGGGCAAAGUUUUUGUAAUACCAAGAAAUUGAGUUUUCUUUUUCUACUGUAGGUAUUGACAUCGAUUCCUGGAUGUGUUUGAUUCGCUCCCCUUUGUUUUCUUUUAAUUGUGCAAGCUGUUUGACAUUCCCCGAAGAGUCAAUAAUUGUGAGGAAUAGCGGCGAGAAAAUAUAUCAAUGCUAGACUGCGUACAUGACAGAUAUUCUUGUUUGACUGUGCUGACUUUGUAAUCCCAUGAAAGUAUAAUUACCUGGAGGCUGUAUUUGUGAAGGCUGGUAUACAUUUUCUUGAUGUCUGAUUACAGAAUUAGCAAUAUGCUAAAAAUCAAACCUCAAGGGUGAGGAUGGGAGAUUAACAACAAAUAAGUACAUGCAUAUAUUCUCUUAAUAUCUUUCUGGGAUUCUGUUGUUUCCCUUAUUAUGUUUAAUAUCAAGAAGAUUAAACAUGCAGAUAGUACAUUGUACUGCAGAGGGCAAUCACGGAAUAUGGAGUAGACCUCAUUACGUAUCCCUCACCAGUCUAGUAUUUAAUAUUUGUAGAACAUUGUAAAAUGAUGAAAAUUAAACUGCUCGGAUUCAUUAGCUCUAUGUGUUGCAGCAAUAAGAAAGUAAUUAAACCACUGCAGGCAUUAUGCUGCUCAAGUUAAGAAAGAGGCCAAGUUCUUUGAAAUAGUUUGUGCUGUAAUGAAAAAUGAUGAUGUUGUUUUAGACUGGCAGAAGACAAGAGCCAUAAUGUUGCCUUUUUAACUUCUCACAGAUUUACAAUGGUCUCACUGUUUGUUAAAUUAGUUUAUUGUUCUUUGUAAUGCUGGCAGUUCUGAUCGGUCAUCGUGCCCUCCGAAGGUUGCCACAACAUUCGGGUUUUCUGAAGUAAAAACUUCUUUUGUUUUCUGCAUAGGGAUAAAAGUAUUUUAAGGAUAACAUUUACGUUUAAAGACAGACCUGUUGUGAGCUCAGAGGUUGUUAAUUGAUGGUAUAUUCUUUAGAUGAAGUCAUCUAUUUGCAUUAUUUCAACUUAAAAAAACAACUACGUUUAACAGCAGAAUUUAUGGUGGAGAACUACAUUACCCAUGAUGCCGCACAGAAAAUUCCACCAGUUUGCACGAGAAAAUCGUGGCAAAAGAGCCUUCUCCCAUGAAGCACCAUAAAUGAAAACUUGAGUUAUUUAACCUAUGCUCUCAAAACACAUUGUGCAAAAAAAUGUAAUAUAUUGUUUCUAUAGAUAUAAUGAACAAUUUUACAAAAUUUUUUUUUAAUUUGAUUGUCAUUUGCAGUGCUUUGUUGGACUGUAGUUAUUUCCCUCAAUAAAGCUGUUAUGUUCACAGUCUUGUACCUGUGUCUUUUCGUCGGAUCAAAUCAAAGUUUGUAAUGUUGUGAUUCACCUCGUAGCUGGUUGGCUUGGUUGAGGACUUUUUAAAAUCCCUAUGGCAAAUACAUAAAUUUUUUUAAUAAUUUCAGUGGAAAUCAGUAUUUUAUUUGGUAAGUAGUCAUAUUAUGUGAGAUAAUAUACAGUCAGAUCGGGAUAAAUGUAUUUGUGUUAAUAACAAGCUAACUCUACAUUUUUUCAUAUUUAUUCAAUUUGUAGGGAACUCACAAGAUUCUUCAUCAAAAAUUUACAAGGAAAUGAGAAGAGCAGCAGCUAGCAGCCACUCUAAGAGAACAGAAAGCCAAAGUACAGAAAGAAAGAAAAAGAAAAAGAAAAAGAAAAAGAAAAAGAAAUGAGGGCAUGAAUUUGUGCUGUACAAGAACAGUGUAUCAUAUUUCCAAGCAAAGUCUUAUUGGUUUGUUUAUUGAAGAUGGUGAAAAACUCAUUUUAUGGAUAGUAAUAAACCUCUCUGUUUAUUGAAUACACAGAUCAAUUAUAGACUGAGGAAUCAAAACUGUAAUCAUUUUUCCCUCCUAUGAGCACAGAACCACAAUUCUGCUUCAGCUUUUUGACAAACAAAUGAACCUCUGUGUAUGAUUUUUUUUCUUCACAGUCUAGAUAUAAAAGAACACUAUGAUAACAAAGGUUGAAUUGAAUUCUCUUUGUCUGUUUGUAAAGAAACACUUUUUUUUCAUUUUGUGUUAUGACUGUUUCAUGAUUUUCAUCCAUCUGUUGGCAAAGAGCUUCGUCAUGCAGCUUUCAUCUUUACUUUACUUCACUAUAGUACUUUUGUUCUGACCCCAGCGAGGACAAACGUGAUUGAACAUACCUUGUUCAGAGAAACAUAAACAUCCUGUUAAACAUCCUGACUUGGAGAGCAAGCGAAUUAAAACUGCAGUUGCAAAAAUGGAUUCCUGAAAUUGAAACAAACAUUAGACUAGUUGGACAGAGAGUUAUAGUAAUAGCAUGACUCAUAUGUCGGCAAGGCCACUGUGACACUCAAAAAAAAUGACAAAAGAGCCCCAUAAAUCAGUAUAUGCACAGAUUUGCCAGCUUUGAUGAGCUAUGGUGGCAAAUUAGCAUUGUUCAAACUUAUGUGCUCUAAAUCAUGUAAACCCCGCUGAUGCCUUCCCUGUGCACUCUGAAGUCAACUCAUGAAAACAGACGGCUGGAUGAAUUGUCAAAUCUGCCAAUUUGAUUAACGUCAAAAAACAAUAACAAUCAAUUACUUUCACAGCGACUUCCUGACAGCCAGUUGCCCAUACACUGCAAUAUUUGAUUUCACAUUAACCAACUGCUUACAUGAAUAGUGGCACAUUUCAUAGUAGCUGGCAGCUCACUAUCUCUUGGUAAAUCUGUUUCUUAUUAAUGUAAAUAAGUGGCAAUUGUGACAUUCUCUGGAGAAAAUGAAAAUACAAUUUAAAGAUAUUUAUUCUCUUUGAACUGACCUAAAUUGUUUAAACAUUAGUUUAAUAAAAUCUGUU
ensembl:lncRNA